CCACCGUGGGGCCGGUUAUAUCCCAUAGUGACCAUUGUGGGACUGGUUUUAUCCCAUAGUGACCAUCACGGGGCCGGUUAUAUCCCACAGUGACCAUCACAGGGCCGGUUAUAUCCCAUAGUGACCAUUGUGGGGUUGGUUUUAUCCCACAGUGACCAUCACAGGGCCGGUUAUAUCCCACAGUGACCAUCAUGGGGCCGGUUAUAUCCCACAGUGACCAUUGUGGGACUGGUUUUAUCCCAUAGUGACCAUCGUGGGGCCGGUUAUAUCCCACAGUGACCAUUGUGGGACUGGUUUUAUCCCACAGUGACCAUCGUGGGGUUGGUUAUAUCCCACAGUGACCAUCGUGGGGCCGCUCGUACCCCACAGUGACCAUCGUGGGGUCGGUUAUAUCCCAUAGUGACCAUCGUGGGGAUGGUUUUAUCCCACAGUGACCAUCACGGGGCCGGUUGUACCCCACAGCCACCACCCCAGGACCGAUUGUAUCCUACAGCACCCAUCCCCGGGCCAAUUAUACCCCGUGACGACCAUCCCGAGGCUGGUUGUAGCCCACGGCACCCAUCCUAGGGCCAUCCUUGGGUCCUGCCCUACCCCGCAGCCGCAUGCCCUGCGUCCCACCUGCGUCCCAUGGCAAUUAGGAUUGGGGGGGGGCUCUCAAUUCCCACAGCAGCCAGCCCCAAACUUCCAUCUGCGUCCUACGGGAGCUGCCCUGGGGACAGCCGUGUGCCGUCCCCCUCCCGUCCCCUGUCCCCUGCCCCGCUCCCAGCCCCACGGCUCCUCACGCCGACUCUUUGCCUCCCCGCAGGGCCUGCCGGGGGAGCGAGGGCUGCCCGGCCCCACGGGGAAACCCGGCCCAAAGGGAGAUCCCGGCCACGACGGGGCCCCCGGCGUGGUGGGAGAGAAGGGCCCUCAAGGUCCGCAGGGUCCCCACGGCUUCCCGGGCACCAAAGGGCCCCCUGGCCCCGCCGGGAAGGACGGCUUGCCGGGACACCCGGGGCAGCGCGGCGAGCCGGUGAGACCCCCGCACCCCCCGCCCCCGUAGGGGACAGCUGGCCAAACCCAGCGUUAACCCCCUCUCCUUUCUCCUCCGCAGGGAUUUCACGGCAAAACCGGCCCCCCCGGCCCCACGGGGGUGGUGGGACCCCAGGUGAGGGGGGGGCAAAUCGGCAGAGCUUUGUGCGGGAGCGAG
rnacentral:lncRNA from 1 species